GAUGAACGCUAGCGGCAGGCCUAAUACAUGCAAGUCGAGGGGUAGAAGAGGCUUGCUUCUUUGAGACCGGCGCACGGGUGCGUAACGCGUAUGCAACCUACCUUCAUCUGGGGGAUAGCCCGGAGAAAUCCGGAUUAAUACCGCAUAAAAUCACAGGGUGGCAUUAUCCAAUGAUCAGACAUUUAUGGGAUGGAGAUGGGCAUGCGUGUCAUUAGCUAGUUGGCGGGGUAACGGCCCACCAAGGCGACGAUGACUAGGGGAUCUGAGAGGAUGGCCCCCCACACUGGUACUGAGACACGGACCAGACUCCUACGGGAGGCAGCAGUAAGGAAUAUUGGUCAAUGGAGGCAACUCUGAACCAGCCAUGCCGCGUGCAGGAAGACUGCCCUAUGGGUUGUAAACUGCUUUUAUUCGGGAAUAAACCUUAUUACGUGUAAUAAGCUGAAUGUACCGAAGGAAUAAGGAUCGGCUAACUCCGUGCCAGCAGCCGCGGUAA
rnacentral:rRNA from 1 species